rnacentral:rRNA from 1 species
AUUGAACGCUGGCGGCAGGCUUAACACAUGCAAGUCGAGCGGGGUGAUGGUGCUUGCACUAUCACUUAGCGGCGGACGGGUGAGUAAUGCUUAGGAAUCUGCCUAUUAGUGGGGGACAACAUCUCGAAAGGGAUGCUAAUACCGCAUACGUCCUACGGGAGAAAGCAGGGGAUCACUUGUGACCUUGCGCUAAUAGAUGAGCCUAAGUCGGAUUAGCUAGUUGGUGGGGUAAAGGCCUACCAAGGCGACGAUCUGUAGCGGGUCUGAGAGGAUGGUCCGCAGGAGUGGGACUGAGACGCGGCCCAGACUCCUACGGGAGGCAGCAGUGGGGAAUAUUGGACAAUGGGGGGAACCCUGAUCCAGCCAUGCCGCGUGUGUGAAGAAGGCCUUAUGGUUGUAAAGCACUUUAAGCGAGGAGGAGGCUCUUUUGGUUAAUACCCAAGAUGAGUGGACGUUACUCGCAGAAUAAGCACCGGCUAACUCUGUGCCAGCCGCCGCGGUAA